rnacentral:rRNA from 1 species
CCUACGGGUGGCAGCAGUGGGGGAUAUUGCACAAUGGGGGGAACCCUGAUGCAGCGACGCCGCGUGGGUGAAGAAGCUCCUCGGCUCGUAAAGCCCUGUCAGCAGGGAAGAAAGUUACCGUACCUGAAGAGCAAUCCCCUGCCAAAUACGGCCCAGCAGCCGCGGUAAUACGGAGGGGGCGAGCGUUAUCCGGAUUUACUGGGUGUAAAGGGGGCGCAGACGGCAAGGCAAGCCAGGCGUGAAAGCCCGGGGCGCAACCCCGGGACUGCUCUUGGAACUGCGUGGCUGGAGUGCAGGAGGGGAAGGCGGAAUUCCUGGUGUAGCGGUGAAAUGCGUAGAUAUCAGGAGGAACACCAGUGGCGAAGGCGACCUGCUGGA